AAUCAGACCAUCAUCUCUCCCUCGCCUCCGCCGUUCGUCACCACUUCACACCGACCGCCUCCAGUCUAGCCGCUCCCUCCUCAGGACAAUUGGAACCUUAGGGGGCUCCCAGUCUCUAAUGCCGCUUCACAGCGUAGUCGGAGCCACUCGCGUCACUUCUCACAUCACCGUCGACGCCCGCGCUUGUUGCGAGUUGUCCCAGGGAACUUAAUAAACUGUUGAAUCAGCUUACAGUUGCUACAUUAUAUGGGUUUUGAAGUACAGCAGGUGGGACUGUGUUUUGAAGUAAAAGACAUAUAACCAGAAAUUCAGAGCUGGAUUUCUGUUGGUGGUUGAGAUAUGAAUCUUAUCUUUUCAAAUAAUUAGUGGUAAUUUUUCAGUUUGUUAUCAAAUUAUUUAGCUGUAAUUGGGCAUUUUUAU